UACAGAGGUGGCAAGCGUUGUUCGGAAUUACUGGGCGUAAAGGGCGCGUAGGCGGCCUUCUAAGUCAGACGUGGAAUCCCCCGGCUUAACCUGGGAACUGCGUCUGAUACUGGGAGGCUUGAGUAUGGGAGAGGGAUGUAGAAUUCCAGGUGUAGCGGUGAAAUGCGUAGAUAUCUGGAGGAAUACCGGUGGCGAAGGCGGCAUCCUGGACCAUAACUGACGCUGAGGCGCGAAAGCUAGGGGAGCAAACGGG
rnacentral:rRNA from 1 species